CCAGCGAACUUGGCAGAGAUGCCUUGGUGCCUUCGGGAACGCUGAGACAGGUGCUGCAUGGCUGUCGUCAGCUCGUGUUGUGAAAUGUUGGGUUAAGUCCCGCAACGAGCGCAACCCUUAUCCUUUGUUGCCAGCGAUUCGGUCGGGAACUCAAAGGAGACUGCCGGUGAUAAACCGGAGGAAGGUGGGGAUGACGUCAAGUCAUCAUGGCCCUUACGAGUAGGGCUACACACGUGCUGCAAUGGCGCAUACAAAGAGAAGCGACCUCGCGAGAGCAAGCGGACCUCAUAAAGUGCGUCGUAGUCCGGAUCGGAGUCUGCAACUCGACUCCGUGAAGUCGGAAUCGCUAGUAAUCGUGGAUCAGAAUGCCACGGUGAAUACGUUCCCGGGCCUUGUACACACCGCCCGUCACACCAUGGGAGUGGGUUGCAAAAGAAGUAGGUAGCUUAACCCUCGGGAGGGCGCUUACCACUUUGUGAUUCAUGACUGGGGUGAAGUCGUAACAAGGUAAGCGUAGCGAG
rnacentral:rRNA from 1 species